CAAAUGGAUUCUACCUCUUUAAGGUUUUAAUGAUAAGGAGGGGAAUAAGAGGCUCCCUCCCUUUUCGAAUGUAACUUUGUUGAGGCCCCGAUAAUAAAUCAUUUGUUCCCUCUAAAUGCACUCUGGCAUUCACACAGGCACACACUCUGAUGGUUCCCACUUGAAAUUGCUCAUCAAGUGCAAAUAGCUCCCAGCCUGGAUGGCUGAGCUGCUCUCCAGCCUCCUCUCUCUGGAGUAAGAAGAUUUCAGCUUGUGACCUGCCCUCGGGACUUGUGGGUGUACAAAGCCUGUGACCCAGGAAACAAAGUCAACGGCUCACUUUGUCCCCACCCCACCCUACCCCGUCUCCCUCCUACUAAAUGCUGAAUCUCACGAGAGAAGAAAACCAGCCACAUAAAGGAUUUGAAAGCUCAACUUGCUUUCCCACUCUGUUAUCCCUGGAGUUGGCUUGGAUUCACCCUGAAGCCUUCCCCCUCCCGGGGAAAGUUGCUUCACGUUGCAGCUCAGCAGGUUUGUCCAGCUACAUAGGCUCCAGAAAACAAGAAGCAAGACUGGAAAGCUGGGGAUGAUUGUACGCCCUCGCCUGAAUCUUACGUGGUUCCUCCUUCUUCCACCUGGCCAGUGCAGAGCCGUGGGUGCCACGUGGCCACUUCUGGAUUGGGUUCCCCUUGGCCUGCCACCCUGUCCUUCUGCUUUCCCACUUUGCCAGCCAGAGUCAAUUUGAGGACGCCAAGUUCUCCUCUCCAUACAGAGCUCCUGGUCUCCUUGUAACUUGUAACUCCUGGGCACAGUUACAAGUGCUGAAUUCUUGCGAGGAUGAACUCAAGAUACAAAAUAUGCUUGGCAACUCACCCCUGAGUGGCCACAGGCACACGCAGGAGUCGAACCCACCCACCUCUGCUGACAGUCAUGGGUCAAGCUCAAAGUCCUGGCUGCUUCUCUGCUCAAGAUAGUGUCUCACUAUGUUGCCCAGGUUGGAUUCGAACUCCUGUGCUCAAAUGAUCUUCCCCUACCUCCAGGGCGGGGUUUCACCAUGUUGGCCAGGCUGGUCUAGAACUCCUGAUCUCAAGAGAUCCACCCACCUCGGCCUCCCAAAGUGCUGGGAUUACCUGCAUGAGCCACUGCACCUGGCUUCAGCCCUUUGUUUUAUCCAAGAGAAGGUCAAGAGCAGAUAAAUUGGAUCUGUGCCCGCAGAGAGAGCCUGCUCCAGCCUCUUUGCUACAGCCUUGAGUCUUCUGCUAAGAAAAGACACAGAGGCAAAGAGAAACACAUAGAGAGGAGAAUGCCUCGUGAAAAUGGAGACCGAGAUUGGUGCAAUGUGUCCACAAGCCAGGGAAUGCCAACGUGGCCAGCAACCACCAGAAGCUGGGAGAGAGGCAUGGAACAGAGUCCUCGGAGCCUCCAGAAGGAACCAACCCUGUUGAUACCUUGACUGAAAACUUCCAGCCUCCAGAACUGUGACAGAAUUAAUUUCUGUUAUUUAAAGCCAUUCAGUCUGUGGUAAUUUGUUACAUCAGCCCUGAAUAGCAAAUACAGAUGACCCAGGUUUAAAUCCUAGUUCUGCCACUUAUGAGCGUGGGUACAUAACUACUUUCUAGAGCCCCGGUUUCCUCAUCUGUAAAAAACCUCAUACGGUUAUUAAGAAGAUCAAAUGAGAUACAAACAUAAAUUCUUAACAGUGCUGGCAUGUUAAUUGUUCAAUAAAUAUGAGUUAUUUACAACAAUUGUGAUAGUAAUGAGUAACACAGAGAAAUGAGAAUUGACUUAACAGAGGCUGGCUCGGCAAGCCUCUAUGCCAACAAAAUUUAUUUGGAAAUCAAAAGUAUUUACUUCAGACUGGGCGCAGUGGCUCACACCUGUAAUCCCUGCACUUGAGGUCAGGAGUUGGAAACCAGCCUGGCCAACAUGGUGAAACCUCAUCUUUACUAAGGGAGGAGACCACCCCUCAUAUUGUCUGCAUAUGCCCAGUUUCUGCCUCCAAAGAAAGAAGAAGUAAAAACUAAAAGGCAGAAAUGAAGUCCACAGGCAGACAGCCCGGUGCCACACCCUGGGCUUGGUAGUUAAAGAUCGACCCCUGACCUAAUCAGUUAUGUUAUCUAUAGAUUACAGGCAUUGUAUAGAAAAGCACUGUGAAAAUCCCUGUCCUGUUCUGUUCUGUUAUAAUUACUGGUGUAUGCAGCCCCCAGUCACGUACCCUCUACUUGCUCAAUCGAUCACGACCCUCUCACGCAGACCCCCUUAGAGUUGUGAGCCCUUAAAAGGGACAGGAAUUGCUCACUCGGGGAGCUCGGUUUUUGGAGACGUGAGUCUUGCCGAAGCUCCCGGCUGAAUAAAGCCCUUCCUUCUUUA
rnacentral:lncRNA from 1 species